UUCCAUGAGAAUGGAGAUGCAGUAGCCCUCACCGGGCUCUGAAUUAGGGGAGUGUGGAUUCUCAAAGAAUUCAUGAAAAUGUUCACAAUAGAGUCUUCUUAUGCAUCUGUUUUCCCUAGAGCAUUCAAUUCAAGCACAUGAAAUAUCAGGUUGUACAAGAAGCAUGGCACCAGCAUCUGCAUCUGAUGAGGACCUCAGGGUGCUUCCACUUGUGGCAGAAGAAGGGGAGCUAGCAUGUGCAGAUACCACACGGCGAGAGAUGAAGGAAGAGAAAGAGGAGGAGGGUUCCAGGCUCUUUUUAACAAUCAGACCUCACAGGAACUAAUAGUGUGAGAAGAUGUUUAACAUAUUCUAAUAAGAUAUUCCUAAUAAACUGCCGUGAGAUAA